rnacentral:rRNA from 1 species
CCUACGGGGGGCAGCAGUGAGGAAUAUUGGUCAAUGGCCGAGAGGCUGAACCAGCCAAGUCGCGUUAGGGAAGACGGCCCUACGGGUUGUAAACCUCUUUUGUCGGGGAGCAACGCGAGUCACGUGUGACUCAUUGAGAGUACCCGACGAAAAAGCAUCGGCUAACUCCGUGCCAGCAGCCGCGGUAAUACGGACGAUGCGAGCGUUAUCCGGAUUUCUUGGGUUUAAAGGGUGCGCAGGCGGAGGUGCAAGUCAGCGGUCAAAUUGCGGGGCUCAACCCCGUACUGCCGUUGAAACUGCAUCCUUUGAGUGCGCGAGAAGUAUGCGGAAUGCGUGGUGUAGCGGUGAAAUGCAUAGAUAUCACGCAGAACUCCGAUUGCGAAGGCAGCAUACCGGCGCGCAACUGACGCUCAUGCACGAAAGCGUGGGUAUCGAACAGGAUUAGAUACCCCUGUAGUC